GCUUUUGUAGUGUAGUGGUCAGCACGCUGGACGCGUAACCAAGAGGGUCGUGGUUCGAUUCCUGGUGAGGGCA
rnacentral:tRNA from 1 species